GACGAACGCUGGCGGCGUGGAUUAGGCAUGCAAGUCGAACGGUAUCAUCCUUCCGGGGGUGAGAGAGUGGCGAACUGGUGAGUAACACGUAGGUUAUCUACCCUCAAGACGGGGACAACCCAGGGAAACUUGGGCUAAUACCGGAUGUGAGCAACUUUUAGUUGUUUGAAAGGUGGCGUAAGCUGUCGCUUGGGGAUGAGCCUGCGUCCUAUUAGUUAGUUGGUGAGGUAACGGCUCACCUAGGCAAUGAUAGGUAGGCGGCCUUAACGGGUGGUCGCCCACACUGGGAUUGAGAUACGGCCCAGACUCCUACGGGAGGCAGCAGUCGAGAAUAGUCUACAAUGGUCGGAAGACUGAUAGUGCGACGCCGCGUGAACGAUGAAUCCCUUCGGGGUGUAAAGUUCUUUUAUAUGUGAGCAGUGCUUCUUAUAUUAACAGUAUGGGGAGAGAGAUAUUAGCAUAUGAAUAAGCAACGGCUAACUCCGUGCCAGCAGCCGCGGUAAAACG
rnacentral:rRNA from 1 species